CUCCCUUGACCUAGGAGGAGUGGCUGGGCUCUAUGUUGUUACCAUAUAUUGAUUUAAAGAGUGAGUGCUUAGACAUUACAGUGAACGAAUAUACCAAUAGAUUAACAGACUAAAUAUGAAGUGACGUACGUAUAUAGAAAACGGACUGAAUUAGUGAAUUGUUAGGAUCUUUAUGGACGUUUAUCAUUGCGUAAAGUGACGCUGAAGAUGAAUUACACAGACUCCAUUUCAUCUACUCAAGGAGAAAUGGAAGGGGCAAAGCUGUAAGUCCUGUAACACAAGGGAAGGGAGAAGAUGGAACGACUACCUUCAUCAGAGCGAGGAACAGCCAGAAAGAAGGGAUGAGAUGCCAUUACCAGUCAAGACUCAAUAAGCAGCAAAAAUAUCCACGAGGCACCGAGUAAGGGUUAAGUUAAGUGCAAGUUUACCGGUUUAGAAGUUUCACUGAUUAACGUAACCUUGCAGGGUGUUGCAGUUGCACAUCCAAAAUUAAAAGUAAUUAAGUGUUUAGAUUGACACUUAUUAAAUUUGAAUUUAUAUGUAUAUGUCAUUGCAGGUCCAUAAACCACAUAUUUGUGAUUUGUUGACCCGUGAGCCUUGGUGUGUCAGGGGAGGAUACUAGAUGUUCUCUGCCUGCCAUACUGUAGUGUACUAACACCUGCCCCGCCAGUGCUGGAAACUUAUAACGGUGCCAACUUCAGGUAGUGAGACACACCGAGGCUUGUUAAAUGUUCAGCUUUAGGGAACAGUUCUACUAACACACAUGUUUACAGGGUAGGUCCUAGUGUCUGUGUUGUGUUGUAGUCAGCACAGAUGAGUAGUAUUUUUAUGUCACUUCACCUCAAGAUGCAAAGAAGACAAAGUGAAGAAAUAGUAAAAAGGUGUAAUAGUGGAAGACAAAGUGAAGAAAUAGUAAAAAAGUGUAAUAGUGGAAGACAAAGUGAAGAAAUAGUAAAAAAGUGUAAUGGUGGAAGACAAAGUGAAGAAAUAUUAAGAAAGUUUAAUGGUGGAAGACAAAGUGAAGAAAUAGUAAAAAAAGUGUAAUAGUGGAAGACAAAGUGAAGAAAUAGUAAAAAAGUUUAAUGGUGGAAGACAAAGUGAAGAAAUAUUAAGAAAGUUUAAUGGUGGAAGACAAAGUGAAGAAAUAGUAAAAAAGUUUAAUGGUGGAAGACAAAGUGAAGAAAAACAGUAAGAAAGUUUAAUGGUGGAAGACAAAGUGAAGAAUUGGUGAUGCACUGAGAAUAUUACCAUCUCCGCCUAACACACAUACAAGUCAGGUCUUGCUGUCGAAGAGUCUGACGCCCUUCUACAACGAGCUCAGAGUUACUCACCUCUUCCCUCUGUACCGAAUACUGGGAAGAGGUGACGGGAAUAAUAGGCUAAACAUACAGACACAGAAUGGGAGGGAAAUAGGAGG